rnacentral:rRNA from 1 species
GAUCAUGGCUCAGGACGAACGCUGGCGGCGCGCCUAACACAUGCAAGUCGAACGAGCGAGAGAGAGCUUGCUUUCUCGAGCGAGUGGCGAACGGGUGAGUAACGCGUGAGGAACCUGCCUCAAAGAUGGGGAUAACAGUUGGAAACGACUGCUAAUACCGCAUAAGCCCACAGCUCGGCAUCGAGCAGAGGGAAAAGGAGCAAUCCGCUUUGAGAUGGCCUCGCG